CCUACGGGGGACUGCAGUGGGGAAUAUUGGACAAUGGGGGGAACCCUGAUCCAGCGACGCCGCGUGAGUGAAGAAGUAUUUCGGUAUGUAAAGCUCUAUCAGCAGGGAAGAAAAUGACGGUACCUGACUAAGAAGCCCCGGCUAACUACGUGCCAGCAGCCGCGGUAAUACGGAGGAUGCGAGCGUUAUCCGGAUUUAUUGGGUUUAAAGGGUGCGCAGGCGGAAUGUCAAGUCAGCGGUAAAAUUUCGGGGCUCAACCCCGUCGUGCCGUUGAAACUGGCGUUCUUGAGUGAGCGAGAAGUAUGCGGAAUGCGAGGUGUAGCGGUGAAAUGCAUAGAUAUCACGCAGAACUCCGAUUGCGAAGGUAGCAUACCGGCGCUCAACUGACGCUCAUGCACGAAAGCGUGGGUAUCGAACAGGAUUAGAUACCCCAGUAGUC
rnacentral:rRNA from 1 species